UCGAGAAUGAAUAAAGCAAAUAUGGAAGUUGAGUGCGAUAAGUGCAAUUGAUCAAAGGAGAAGAAUUGAAGAAAAUGAUAAUGCGUGUGUGUUCUUAAAUAAAGUAUUGAAGGAGUGGUUUAGUUUUCAAUAUUUGUACUAUCAAAAAAUACUUUUUACUUGAAUGCAGGAACUAUAAAUCGAGCAUUAAAAUUUACAACCCUCAAUGAAGCUAUUUGAAUAUUUCUUAAAUUUCCAUUCCCAAUGAUUAAAAAUGGUGAUUGCUCACCUACGCAGACUCGAUUACAAAUAAAGGCUUAACAUUCAUAUGCAUAUAAAUAUUAUUUGCAGACUUUUUUCCUCAUUUCAGCUCCACUUUCCAGCGGACACAUGCCACAUUUCCCACGGUCAAAGGGAAAAGCGGACGGAGCCCAAGGCCACGCGAGUACAGUGAACACUGGUUGGUGGGGGACGAGGUGGGUGACGGCGAAGGCAUAAAAAACCCGCAGCUGUCAUUGGCAAUAAAAAUAAUAACACCCAUCCAGAGUUCAAAAGUAACAAAAGCAACAGCAAUCAAACAUUUUCGCUGCUUCGGUUUCUUUUCCUUUUUUUUUAUCAAUCACAAUAUAAACACUCAACAAUGGAUGGGGCGAAAACGAGUGUACUACACACACCCCACAGGAAGCGUUUUUCGCGUUUCACUUCGAUAUUAUUGAAGAACGAAAAUACAUAAAAAGGCAUUUUUAAUUUCCACGCAAGCCUCGCUGCCAUAAUUGAAGUAAAAGCCAACGCCAUUUGAUUAUUUGUAUAUAAAUAAAAGAAUGUCGAUUUUUACGAUUUGUUUGACAUGGAAUCAAGCAACACAAAAAGCCAGAUCGAGGCAGAGAAAAAUGAAAAGUUCACAAAUAUAUGGCAGUCUCAUAAAUAGGAGACCAGAAAUCAAUUGACAAUUUAUUGUUUGAAACAUAAAAAAUGAGCGAGUCCAAGUGGACUCGGAGUGUGGAAGGAUGUGGGCUGGAUUCGAGGAGAAAUCUAUAUUAAAUUACAAGCCG